UAAUAAGUAGUAGAGCCAGGAUUUUAAUCUGGACAUUCUGCCUCCAGAUCCUAACGAAGGCAUUGGAAUUUGAACUUGGGUUGUCUAACUCCAAAGACCAUAUUCUUAACCUCUCUGUUGUGCUGCAAAGACCAGAGUAUCACAGCAACUUCUUGCAUUAUUGUUUUAUUUGUGGCCAGGUCAAUCCCAGGUACUGGGGUACUGCCGAGCCUUACAAAGGGCAGCCCUCUUCUGGCACAGACUUGGCAAAAGCCUGUUCUGGAAACAGACUGUGGUACCAGAAAACCCACAGGCACUUCCAGUUCUGGGACCAGACCCCUCCUAUGCUAUAUACACAUUUUGGCUCAUAAGUUGCCACACCAAACCCAGAAGGGAGAUCAUUCCUGCCCUCUUCCUCUACCCCAAACACCCACAGUAGAAUUAACUGCAGAGGACAGGGAGCAGAAUUCCUUUCCUGUCUGCAUUUAGUCUCCUCUACUGCCAGAAGGAAACAUGACUUAUGUCUGGAAGUCACAAUUAAGUGCCCUGAGGUGCAUCUGGCUCAAGGAAAUCAGUAUUUGUUGAAUUCUUAAGUCCAAGACUCUAGUAGGUGUGGCAAACAAAUUUUCUACCAUUUGGAUUUUGUAGGUCCUAUAAAAAUAAUGCUUUCUUUCCAUCUGUCACCUUCAGAAGCCUCUGUUUUUUAAGGAGCCAACACACAUGCUUCACUUGUGCUCCUGUACCCUGCAGUCUGUGUGGGCCCUUGGCAAUGAGAAGCUGUCACUGAGAGAGCUACCUGAAGCCCAGAUCAGAAACUGACACUUGCCCAUCCUGUGUCUGAGAAUUCUUUUUAAAUUUUUGAAAAUUAUACUUUGCCCGAGCAAACUACAGAGAAGGAAGACUUUUUUCUACCUAGAGUGCUAGUUCUGGUUUGAGGAAACACAGCUUGGACACUCAUCAUUUUCUAUCCAAAUCAUAGGGUUUCAUGUUGAAGCAAUAUGCAACCCCAUCUACCAGAAAUGGCUGAGAAGCUCCACCCAACUGGGAGAAUGUUACCUAGGUCAGUUGUAUUAGUCUGUUUUCAUGCUGCUGAUAAGGGCAUACCCUAGACCAGAUAAUUUAUAAAGAAAAAGAGGUUUCAUGAACUCGCAGUUCCACAUGGCUGGGGAGGCCUCACAAUCAUGGCAGAUAUUGAAAGGCACAUCUUACAUGGCAGCAGGCAAGAGAAAAAAUGAGAACCAAGUAAAAGGGGUUGCCCCUUAUAAAACCAUCAGAUCUCGUGAGACUUAUUCACUAUCAGGAGAACAGCAUGGGAAAGAUCCACUGCCAAGAUUCAAUUACCUGCUAUCAGGUCUCCUCACACGAUACAUGGGAAUUGUGGGAACUACAAUUCAAAUGACAUUUGGGUGGGGACACAGACAAACCAUAUCAUCAGUAGAACACUUGGGAGGAGAGUUGAGGAUGCAGGGGCAAGAAGCAGUGAAAGUAGCAGCAGUCUGCAAUUCUGAAAGAAGAGAUUAUGGAUAAGUGGGGAGCAGCUAGGUGAGGUGGCUCAUGAUUAUAGUCCCAGCAUUUUGAGAGGCUGGGGAAGGAGGACUGCUUGAGCCCAGGAGUUUGAGACCAGCUUGGGCAACAUAGCAAGACCCUGUCUCUACAAAAAAUCCAAAACUUAGUUGGGCAUGGUGGCACGCACCUACAGUCCCUACUACUCAGAAGGCUGAGGUGGUGGGAGGAUUGAUUGAGCCUGGGAGGUCAAGACUGCAGUGAGCCAUGAUUGUGCCACUGCACUUUAGCUCAGGUGACAGAGCGAGACCCUGUCUCAAA
ensembl:lncRNA